GUUGGAUUGACAUGGUGCAGAAAUGCCUUAUAUUAAUCCAAUGAGCAACACAAAUAUUGAAAGCUAACACAUCAUCCUGCCAUGGCGGCCAAGGCUUUCAUUGACAUCUAUCAAUAUCUUCCUUGCUUCAGCGAACAUGAAAAGCCCUCCGCACCAAGUUAUUCAGCAAAAUGAAUGCAAUUUUUGGUUUAAAAGAAUAUGCCUAAGAACGUCAAGCUCUAUCUACAAAAUGAUAAUUUACAUAACUUUUUUACUUCUGUGGUUUAUGAGCGCCUUAAAGAUGAUUCUUUCUGGGAAAUUAUCUGCCAACUUCAACCAGAUUCUAAUUUCAUUCCUGUUCUCUUGAAAAAUAAAUUAAUGGCGACAAAAAGUAUUAAAAAUGCUGCAUUUUGAGGUCAUUCUCUUUUUUCUUCAUUGCCAACCUUGGGGGACGCAGCAGUAUCUGAAGCAGCAUCGUCCAUAGAAAUAUCGCCUUCCAUAGAUGAUGACUCUACAUUGUCUUCAGCAGCAGAUGACUCUGAUUCUACAACCUGUUGCUGUAAGCUCCAGUACAUUAUGCUUGCAGUCAAAACAAGUAUCAUCUUCUGGUUUACCUCUAUAAUGUCCUCGGGCAGUAAGAAAAUGGAGCAUCCAAGUUUCCGGGCAACACUGAUUAUGUAGGUAGCAUUCAACUUCUUAUCCUCAUCACUUUCUCCCUUUGUAACAACUGCCCAAUUGACUACCCUUGGCUCCACUGCACUGAGAAGCUCAAGAAAGAAAAUUCCAUUUGAAAGGCUCUUAUCCUUGAAGCUCUCCAUUUGAGAUGUUCUACCUGCUUUCUUCACUUUGCUAUUUGCCCAGUUUAAAAUGUCGGCAUCUGUAAUUUCUUUACCUUGGGAGUGGGAGGAGUGAGAUCUCAAGUUUUUCAGAAGCUGAAGCAUGGUAAACCUCAUUAGCUGCCAC
rnacentral:misc_RNA from 1 species